rnacentral:misc_RNA from 1 species
GAUGAAGAACGCAGCGAAAUGCGAUAAGUAAUGUGAAUUGCAGAAUUCAGUGAAUCAUCGAAUCUUUGAACGCACAUUGCGCCCGCCAGUAUUCUGGCGGGCAUGCCUGUUCGAGCGUCAUUUCAACCCUCAAGCCCUCGGGUUUGGUGUUGGGGAUCGGCGAGCCUUUCUGGCAAGCCGGCCCCGAAAUCUAGUGGCGGUCUCGCUGCAGCCUCCAUUGCGUAGUAGUAAAACCCUCGCAACUGGAACGCGGCGCGGCCAAGCCGUUAAACCCCCAACUUCUGAAUGUUGACCUCGGAUCAGGUAGGAAUACUCGCUGAACUUAAGCAUAUCAAUAAGCGGAGGA